AGUAGUAGUGAGCGUUGUCCAAGAGGUGGGUAUCAGGGCUGGCGUGCUAGUGAAUGCUGGUUCUCUGUUUUUGCAAGUGAUGAUGAACCUGUUUGAGCUAAUUCCAUUUGAGAAAGUUCCAGUUACUGGCCUGGUCGUGUCGUCCUUUCAAUGUUAAAAACUGCAGCAAAAGCAUGGGGAUUGUUGCUUCUAGAAACACCCCAGGUCUCUUGUCUGCUCUCUGCAUAUUGUUCAAGUAAAGCAGAUUUAAAAAAAUAAUAAUAAAGAAAACGAAAACCAACUGCUGCUGCUCCUGCUUUCUUUCUACUUCCUUGUGCUUUGCCCCUCCCCUUUUCCAGGUGAUUGGGUUUGGGUGCUGGGCGGGGCCAAAUGGUAUAUCAGCCCCAGGCAUGCCAUCAGAGAGCUCCUUCUGCCUGGGCUGCUCCUUGGGGGUAGAUGCAGCAUUGCCAAGAGACUGAGCAGCGAUGUAUCAGAGUUACCUCUUUCAUCUGCAAAGGGUGCUUUGUGCAGUCGUGGACAGGGAAGGGAUAUCCUCCUGUGAUGGAGCUCUGAGGGAAGGUGAGUGUUGCCAGCCUGGUUGUGCCUUAUCCGAAGCGAAGACGCUCAGGUGUUUCUCUGUGAGGGUCGGAGGUGAGGCCGUUUGGGAUAGAGGAGCAGUGUGGCAGGUGGUUGCUUGCAAGCACAGUGGUCGUUUUGUCCUUUUGUGUUCCCAGGUGUUGUGGAUGAUGGUGGCCGCUCCUUUCAAGCUUGGACCUAAUUUGCAAGUAUAGAGGCAAGUGGAGUGCUGUUUUGAAAGGAUAAAAGUAAAGCUGGGGUCGCUUAUGUUGUUGAGGGAUGGGUGCUACCGCUGGCAGCUGAAUGUUUAUCUUCUGCCUGUGUCUUUCCUUUGUUCAUGUUGAAAUGCAGCGUGCAGUGCGCAGUGCAGGACGUCUCGACCCGAGCUGCCUCUGCAGUGACUCUGAUGCGUGAUAAGCUGAGGUAGCUGUUAUUUUUGGGGUGCGGUUGUUACUGCAGUUAUUUUCCUUCGUUCAAUAGAGUAAAAUUCCAGUUUGCCUUUUAGAAGUGCUGUAAGUGGCUAAUGAGAACAGAUGGAAGCAUCUGCUAUGUGGGGCAGGCAAGCGGCUGAGGUACAGGAGGGGAUGAAAGUAUGUGAUUUUUUUCUGGGGAUGGAAUGGAAUUGAUUUUGUUGGUGUAUAAUCUGUUCUGAUCCUGGAUUUUUCUUUCUAAGUUUAAAAAUAAUAAUAAAAUUUGAGCUAAUACCA
rnacentral:lncRNA from 1 species